GACGAACGCUGGCGGCGUGCUUAACACAUGCAAGUCGAGCGGUAAGGCCCUUUCGGGGUACGACGAGCGGCGAACGGGUGGAGUAGCACGUGGGUGACCUGCCCUCAGCUCUGGGAUAAGCCUGGGAAACCGGGUCUAAUACUGGAUAUGACUCCAUGACGCAUGUUGUGGGGUGGAAAGCCUUGUGCGGCUGAGGAUGGGCCCGCGGCCUAUCAGCUUGUUGGUGGGGUGGAUGGCCUACCAAGGCGA
rnacentral:rRNA from 1 species